rnacentral:rRNA from 1 species
UACGUAGGGUCCUAGCGUUGUCCGGAAUUAUUGGGCGUAAAGAGCUCGUAGGCGGCUUGUCGCGUCGACUGUGAAAACCCGUGGCUCAACCAUGCGGUCUGCAGUCGAUACGGGCAGGCUAGAAUUCGGUAGGGGAGACUGGAAUUCCUGGUGUAGCGGUGAAAUGCGCAGAUAUCAGGAGGAACACCGGUGGCGAAGGCGGGUCUCUGGGCCGAUAUUGACGCUGAGGAGCGAAAGCGUGGGGAGCGAACAGG